rnacentral:rRNA from 1 species
UACAGAGGGGGCAAGCGUUGUUCGGAAUUACUGGGCGUAAAGGGCGCGUAGGCGGCCUGUUAAGUCGAACGUGAAAUCCCUGGGCUCAACCCAGGAACUGCGUCCGAUACUGGCAGGCUUGAAUUCGGGAGAGGGAUGCGGAAUUCCAGGUGUAGCGGUGAAAUGCGUAGAUAUCUGGAGGAACACCGGUGGCGAAGGCGGCAUCCUGGACCGAUAUUGACGCCGAGGCGCGAAAGCCAGGGGAGCAAACGGG